rnacentral:lncRNA from 1 species
CAACAGACCAACCCCCACCCCCAAUACCUAUUUCUCCCUCCAGCCUUCACACUCUUGUAGUUUAAGAAUGAGAUAAUCUUGUAGCUGCUGGGAGUUUCCAUGAAGGGGGACUGGCCCAGGAAUGAGGUCAACCAGAGAAAAGUAGAGCCCUGAGAGAGGGACUAGGUCCUGAAGACUUCAUUUAAGACACAGGAUCCAGCCUUGCUUGAUGUCAUUACUCCUAGACUUUCACGUACAAGAGCCAAAAAAUUGUCUUUUCUUCCCCCUUAACCCAGGGCUCCUGCAACCAAAAGAACACUUGACUGUGGCAUCUUUCCAGCCUCCUGUUAGCAGCUAGGUAAGGUGCCCCCAUGGCAAGGAGCUGCGGGCAGCCUCAAGAAACUGGGUGGCCUCUUAGGACCUGAGGGCAGCCUCCAACAAGCAAGCAGCAAACCUCUGGGGCCUUCUGUUCUACAACUGCAAGGAAAUAAAUUCUGCCAACAGCCUGAAUGAGCACGGAAGUGAACUCUUUCUCAGUCGAGCCUCUGAAUGAGAACACAGUUCAACUCAUGCCUUGACUGCAGCUUGUGAGAGUCUGAGAAGAGGACCAGGAGCAACUCUAGUUGACUCUCCACUCCCACGCUGCAGGAAUUGACGGCGCACAGGGAACAGUUUCUACUGCUGUCCUUCCCGUUACCUCCUCCAAUGGGGCUUCAGUCACCACCUCUCUGGAAGGUGAUGAUGGUCGGCAGCUCCAUAUCGCCAGCCGUGACUCUGCCCUGAAAUCUAGCCCAAGGGAGCCAACUGCCUGUUUUGUCAGGACUCAUGAUCCUGAAGACAAUGAAGAAGAAAUAUGACAGUCGGUCCCGAGUGUGGAAUGAACACUCUGCUCUCCCAGCUGGGGAACUCCGUGAGGACCCACAUAAGCAAUGCAGAAGCAUUGGGAAACACAUGCAAUAACUGGGGCCAUCUGUUUUCUCCUGAAAACUAGUGGUGGGCUGGAUUCUCUGAAGAGUUUCUCAAGGCAUGUUGGACCAGAACAACCUGCUCAGAGAAGAGGCAAGGUCCCUGCCUGGGCCUCUGAGGUGUUGGAGGUGGGGCCAGCCCACCCCCAGGCCGUGAGGCCUGGCUGCUGGAAGGAGGCAGGACCCAGAAGGUUGCUGCCAUCCUGGGGUGUCUGAGUCCCCAUGUGGCCCAGCUGUGUUCCUGCUGGCCCGGCAUCCACACCCUUGUCUCUGGAUGUGCGGUGGGAGAAUUGUCUUUCUCCACGAACAGGCCAGGUGGUUCCUGGGAUUGACCUCUCUCUCCCAGGUGUGGACAAGCAGAGCAUCCUACGUCCCCAGCUACAGCGACUGGCUGAUAUGGUUUGGCUGUGUCCCCACCCAAAGCUCAUCUUGAAUUCCCACGUGUUGUGGGAGGGACCCAGUGGGAGGUAAUUGAAUCAUGGGGGCAGGUCUUUCCUGUGCUGUUCUCAUGAUAGUGAGUAAAUCUCACAAGAUCUAAUGGUUUUAUAAGGAGGCUGCACAAGCUCUUUCUCUGCCUGCUGCCAACCAUGUAAGAUGUGACUUGCUCCUCCUUUGCCUUCCACCAUGAUUAUGAGGCUUCUCCUGCCACAUGGAACUGUGAGUCCAUUAAAAUCUUUUUCCUGGAUAAAUUACCUAGUCUCGGGUAUGUCUUUAUCAGCAGCGUGAAAACGGACUAAUACGCUGGGCUAGGCUUGGUCAUGUGACCCAGGCCAAUCAAUGAAAUACAGGCUUGGGACUUUUGCAGGGAUAAUUUAGACAGGAAGGCUCUUUUCCCAUUAGGGUGCUAGGCUGGGCUAAUAUGUCAAACCAGCUGGUGGUCUCCCUCUUUAACCACAUGGAGAAAUCCCUUGCAAGUAGAAAAAAAAAAGCAAAGCUAUUAGACAGAGGAGGGUAGAGCUGAAGAUGGGGUGAUAGACAGCCCUGAUGACAUUGUUUGAAUCCCUGGAUCCAGGUGGUCCUGAAGCCUGCCUACCACCCCUGGUCUUUUAGGUAUUUGAACCCAUCACUUCCUUGUUUUGCUUAAACAAACUGUGGUUAGGUUCAGAAUCCUGGUUUAAACACCCGUCCCUGAGUUCUUUCAUAGGUUGCACUUGCUGUCCCAGGGCCUUUACUGUCUAGGUUGGAUGAUAGGUACACAGCCUUUCUCCUGUACUGGGGUGGAAGCCCUGGUGCCUGCUAUAUCUGGGCUUUGAUGCCUGGGUCAGGAUCUUGAAACUUCUCUGCAGGCAUUUCCUUUCAUGGGAAGCCCAGCAACUUGGCUGUUAGACUUGAGGUCAAAUCCUGGUCCUGCCACUGGGCAGGUGACCCUGUCUGCACCCCACUAUCCUCAUCUUUACAUUCUCCUGGGGAUAAUAUCCCCACCUCCCAGGAUGUCGGGGGAAUGAAUGAGAGAUGCUGUGAAGCACCAGGCAAGGUGCUGGUGGAUGUGGGAGCUGUUUCAAUUAUUGUUAUUUGUGCCUCACACACCCAGAGUGAAAGGGAAGCUGUGGGCUGGUCUCACAGGCCAGCCCCUGCAGCCUCUGAGUUUUUUAAUGAA